GUUUCUGUAGUUGAGGUUAAACAACGACGGCUUUUCAGGCCGUAAGUCUUGGAAAAAGGCCAAGCAGAAACU
rnacentral:tRNA from 5 species